rnacentral:ribozyme from 14 species
CUGCUCCCGUCAGCAUACUACGCAGCAGUGGAAAGUUCGAUCUUCCAAGUAAAAAUACAGGUGCAGGUCAAAGCCUGGGUGGUGCAAGUAUAGGUAGAGAACCAUCACCUAGAAGGA